rnacentral:rRNA from 2 species
CGUAUAUUAAAGUUGUUGCAGUUAAAAAGCUCGUAGUUGGAUUUGUGGUGACAUUUGUGGUCCAUUUUUGGUACUAACGAGUGUUGCCAUCCUUGGGUGGAACUGUGUGGCAUUAAGUUGUCGUGCAGGGAUGCCCAUCGUUUACUGUGAAAAAAUCAGCGCGUUCAAAGCAGGCUUAUGCCGUUGAAUGUCUUAGCAUGGAAUAAUAAGAUAGGACCUUGGUGCUAUUUUGUUGGUUUGCGUACCGAGGUAAUGAUUAAUAGGGACAGUUGGGGGUAUUCGUAUUCCAUUGUCAGAGGUGAAAUUCUUGGAUUUCUGGAAGACGAACUACUGCGAAAGCAUUUACCAAGGAUGUUUUCAUUAAUCAAGAACGAAAGUUAGGGGAUCGAAGAUGAUUAGAUACCAUCGUAGUCUUAACCAUAAACUAUGCCGACAAGGGAUUGGUGGGGUUUCGUUACGUCUCCAUCAGCACCUUAUGAGAAAUCACAAGUUUUUGGGUUCCGGGGGGAGUAUGGUCGCAAGG